UAUGAACCCGAAUGGUUAAAUGAUAACCUAUUAGAAUUAUCGAAAAAGAGUUAGUGAUGGUUGGUACAUUUGCAGUUAAUUGAGAUGUGGAGUUAAUCUUCUGUUUUCGGGUGUGAAAUAGAUUAGUUAUGCCAGGAAAAAUGAUGCAGAUUGGAAACUCAUUAUGCAGGUGAAUUUGUUUUGCAAGAUUUGAGUUGCCGGAGCUUGACCUGAUGGUGAAACGGGCUUGGCGAUUUGGCUUCGCGCAACGGAUUACUAAGGUAGCAAUUGAUUCUUCCUUGGCUUGCUUUGGCUUAGUGUAUUAUUUUGAUAGUAGAUUUGUGGUUCAAUGCUGCAGAAUCAUGGUAUUGCAGCUUGGUUUCGGGUCUGCGAAUUGGUCGUGGUGUAGUUUUCUCUUGUUCUCUUACAGGUCCAAUGACUGGUAUGCUUAACCCAUGGUGCAG
rnacentral:lncRNA from 1 species